rnacentral:rRNA from 1 species
GGACUACAAGGGUAUCUAAUCCUGUUUGCUCCCCACGCUUUCGCGUCUCAGCGUCAGUACCGUUCCAGCGAGCUGCCUUCGCCAUUGGUGUUCCUCCUGAUAUCUGCGCAUUUCACCGCUACACCAGGAAUUCCACUCGCCUCUCCCGGACUCUAGCCCGACAGUUUCCACCGGCAUCCCAGGGUUGAGCCCUGGACUUUUACAGCGGACUUAUCGAGCCGCCUACACGCUCUUUACGCCCAAUGAUUCCGGACAACGCUUGCACCCUACGUAUUACCGCGGCUGCUGGCAC